AAUGAACGUUGGCGGCGUGGAUUAGGCAUGCAAGUCGAACGGGCCUGGUUUUCGGAUUAGGUCAGUGGCGCAAGGGUGAGUAAGGCGACGGUAACCAACCCCAUGGUUGGGUAUAGCCGCGGGAAACUGCGGGUAAUCCCCAGCGAUGUAAGAUGCCGGCAUCGGUGUUUUAUCAAAGCUUUGGCGCCGUGGGACGGGCCGUCGUGGUAUUAGGUUGUUGGCGGGGUAACGGCCCACCAAGCCGAUGAUGCCUACCGGGCGUGCGAGCGUGGCCCGGCACACUGGGACUGAGACACUGCCCAGACUCCUACGGGAGGCUGCAGUCGAGAAUCUUCGGCAAUGGGCGCAAGCCUGACCGAGCGACGCCGCGUGGAGGAUGAAGGCCUUCGGGUUGUAAACUCCUGUCGAGGGGGAGGAAGGGGAAACCUUGACCGAUCCCUGGAGGAAGCACGGGCUAAGUUCGUGCCAGCAGCCGCGGUAAGACGAACCGUGCGAACGUUAUUCGGAAUCACUGGGCUUAAAGCGCGUGUAGGCGGAUGGGAACGUCGGAUACUGAAAGCCCCCGGCUCAACCGGGGAAGUGGUUCCGAAACGGCCUGUCUGGAGGGACGUAGGGGGAUCUGGAACUUCCGGUGGAGCGGUGAAAUGCGUUGAGAUCGGAAGGAACGCCCGUGGCGAAAGCGAGGUCCUGGACGUCUGCUGACGCUGAGACGCGAAAGCUAGGGGAGCAAACGGGAUUAGAUACCCCGGUAGUCCUAGCCGUAAACGAUGGGCACUGGGUAGGGGGCUCGCCGAUGGGCUCUCUGCCGUAGCGAAAGCGUGAAGUGCCCCGCCUGGGGAGUAUGGUCGCAAGGCUG
rnacentral:rRNA from 1 species